rnacentral:rRNA from 1 species
GACGAACGCUGGCGGCGUGCUUAACACAUGCAAGUCGAACGGUAAGGCCCUUCGGGGUACACGAGUGGCGAACGGGUGAGUAACACGUGGGUGAUCUACCCUGCACUUCGGGAUAAGCCUGGGAAACUGGGUCUAAUACCGGAUAGGACCACUGCCUGCAUGGGUGGUGGUGGGAAGCUUUUGCGGUGUGGGAUGGGCCCGCGGCCUAUCAGCUUGUUGGUGGGGUGAUGGCCUACCAAGGCGACGACGGGUAGCCGGCCUGAGAGGGUGACCGGCCACACUGGGACUGAGAUACGGCCCAGACUCCUACGGGAGGCAGCAGUGGGGAAUAUUGCACAAUGGGCGCAAGCCUGAUGCAGCGACGCCGCGUGAGGGAUGACGGCCUUCGGGUUGUAAACCUCUUUCAGCACCGACGAAGCGCAAGUGACGGUAGGUGCAGAAGAAGGACCGGCCAACUACGUGCCAACAGCCGCCGCUG